rnacentral:rRNA from 1 species
AUCUAUGGCCAUGCCACCCUGAACAAGCCCGAUCUCGUCAGAUCUUGGAAGCUAAGUAGGGUGGGGCCUGGUUAGCACUUGGAUGGGAGACCACCUAGGAAGACCAGGUGCUGUAAGUG